CUCGUAGGCGGUUCGUCGCGUCCGGUGUGAAAGUCCAUCGCUUAACGGUGGAUCCGCGCCGGGUACGGGCGGGCUUGAGUGCGGUAGGGGAGACUGGAAUUCCCGGUGUAACGGUGGAAUGUGUAGAUAUCGGGAAGAACACCAAUGGCGAAGGCAAUCCCCUGGGCCUGUACUGACGCUCAUGCACGAAAGCGUGGGGAGCAAACA
rnacentral:rRNA from 1 species